rnacentral:rRNA from 1 species
CCUACGGGAGGCAGCAGUGGGGGAUAUUGCACAAUGAGGGAAACCCUGAUGCAGCGACGCCGCGUGAGUGAAGAAGUAAUUCGGUAUGUAAAGCUCUAUCAGCAGGGAAGAAAAUGACGGUACCUGAGUAAGAAGCCCCGGCUAACUACGUGCCAGCAGCCGCGGUAAUACGUAGGGGGCAAGCGUUAUCCGGAUUUACUGGGUGUAAAGGGAGCGUAGACGGUGAUGCAAGUCUGGAGUGAAAGCCAGGGGCUCAACCCCCGGACUGCUCUGGAAACUGUGCGACUGGAGUGCAGGAGGGGUAGGUGGAAUUCCUGGUGUAGCGGUGAAAUGCGUAGAUAUUAGGAGGAACACCAGUGGCGAAGGCGGCCUACUGGACUGUAACUGACGUUGAGGCUCGAAAGCGUGGGGAGCAAACAGGAUUAGAUACCCGUGUAGUC